rnacentral:rRNA from 1 species
CAGCGCGCAAUUACCCACUCCCGGCACGGGGAGGUAGUGACGAAAAAUAACGAUACGGGACUCAUCCGAGGCCCCGUAAUCGGAAUGAGUACACUUUAAAUCCUUUAACGAGGAUCAAUUGGAGGGCAAGUCUGGUGCCAGCAGCCGCGGUAAUUCCAGCUCCAAUAGCGUAUAUUAAAGUUGUUGCGGUUAAAAAGCUCGUAGUCGAAUUUGUGUCUCAUGCCGCUGGUUCAUCGUUCGCGGUGUAAACUGGCGUGUCAUGGGACGUCCUGCCGGUGGGCUUAGCUCCUUUCGGGGGGCGGCCCUAUACAAUCCUGCCGCGUUGCUCUUGAUUGAGUGACGAGGUGGGCCGGCUCAUUUACUUUGAACAAAUUAAAGUGCUUAAAGCAGGCUAAAAUUUUGCCUGAAUAUGUGUGCAUGGAAUAAUGGAAUAGGACCUCGGUUCUAUUUUGUUGGUUUUAAGAACCCCGAGGUAAUGAUUAAUAGGAACGGAUGGGGGCAUUCGUAUUGCGACGUUAGAGGUGAAAUUCUUGGAUCGUCGCAAGACGAACAUAAGCGAAAGCAUUUGCCAAAAACGUUUUCAUUGAUCAAGAACGAAAGUUAGAGGUUCGAAGGCGAUCAGAUACCGCCCUAGUUCUAACCAUAAACGAUGCCAGCCAGCGAUCCGCCGAUGUUCCUCCGAUGACUCGGCGGGCAGCUUCCGGGAAACCAAAGCUUUUGGGU